UGGGGGAAUUUUGGACAAUGGGCGAAAGCCUGAUCCAGCAAUGCCGCGUGUGUGAAGAAGGCCUUCGGGUUGUAAAGCACUUUUGUCCGGAAAGAAAUCCUCUGGGUUAAUACCUCGGGGGGAUGACGGUACCGGAAGAAUAAGCACCGACUAACUACGUGCCAGCAGCCGCGGUAAUACGUAGGGUGCAAGCGUUAAUCGGAAUUACUGGGCGUAAAGCGUGCGCAGGCGGUUUUGUAAGACGGAUGUGAAAUCCCCGGGCUUAACCUGGGAACUGCAUUCGUGACUGCAAGGCUAGAGUAUGGCAGAGGGGGGUAGAAUUCCACGUGUAGCAGUGAAAUGCGUAGAGAUGUGGAGGAAUACCGAUGGCGAAGGCAGCCCCCUGGGCCAAUACUGACGCUCAUGCACGAAAGCGUGGGGAGCAAACAGGAUUAGAUACCCUGGUAGUCCACGCCCUAAACGAUGUCAACUAGUUGUUGGGGAUUCAUUUCCUUAGUAACGUAGCUAACGCGUGAAGUUGACUGCCUGGGGAGUACGGUCGCAAGAUUAAAACUCAAAUGAAUUGACGGGGUCAUAGCUGUUUCCU
rnacentral:rRNA from 1 species